rnacentral:snoRNA from 10 species
CAGGUUAUGAUGAUUGGCGCAGGGGUACGGACUUCAGUUGAUUCAUGGGAGCUGAACAUAUGUGUUUCUCCUUUGUCCUGCAUGUGGCAGGAUGCUGGUGAGCACUUACAGGAGACUGAUGCCUCAAUCUGAGCCUG